rnacentral:rRNA from 1 species
CUACCAUGCAGUCGACGGUAACAGGACUAGCUUGCUAGUUGCUGACGAGUGGCGCACGGGUGAGUAACAUAUAGGUAACGUGCCUCUUAGUCUGGGAUAGCCACUGGAAACGGUGAUUAAUACCGGAUACACCUUUUAAUUUGAUGUUAAAAGGGAAAGGUUUUUCGCUAAGAGAUCGGCCUAUAUUGUAUCAGCUAGUUGGUGAGGUAAGAGCUCACCAAGGCAAUGACACAUAGCGGGUUUGAGAGGAUGAUCCGCCACACUGGUACUGAGACACGGACCAGACUCCUACGGGAGGCAGCAGUGAGGAAUAUUGCACAAUGGAGGAAACUCUGAUGCAGCAACGCCGCGUGGAGGAUGACGCAUUUCGGUGUGUAAACUCCUUUUAUAAGAGAAGAAAAUGACGGUAUCUUAUGAAUAAGUCCCGGCUAACUCCGUGCCAGCAGCCGCGGUAAUACGGAGGGGACAAGCGUUAUUCGGAAUCACUGGGCGUAAAGGACGCGUAGGCGGGACAGUAAGUCAGGUGUGAAAUCCUAUGGCUCAACCAUAGAACUGCAUUUGAAACUAAUCGUCUAGAGUAUGGGAGGGGGAGAUGGAAUUAGUGGUGUAGGGGGUAAAAUCCGUAGAUAUCACUAGGAAUACCGAAAGCGAAGGCGAUCUCCUGGAACAUUACUGACGCUAAGGCGUGAAAGCGUGGGGAGCAAACGGGAUUAG